rnacentral:rRNA from 1 species
GACGAACGCUGGCGGCGUGCUUAACACAUGCAAGUCGAACGAUGAAGCCCAGCUUGCUGGGUGGAUUAGUGGCGAACGGGUGAGUAACACGUGGGCAACCUGCCCCAAACUCUGGGAUAACUCCUCGAAAGAGGUGCUAAUACCGGAUACGAACUAGACAGACAUCUGUACUAGUUGGAAAGUUUUUCGGUUUGGGAUGGGCCCGCGGCCUAUCAGCUUGUUGGUGAGGUAACGGCUCACCAAGGCUACGACGGGUAACCGGCCUGAGAGGGCGACCGGUCACACUGGGACUGAGACACGGCCCAGACUCCUACGGGAGGCAGCAGUGGGGAAUAUUGCACAAUGGGCGAAAGCCUGACGCAGCGACGCCGCGUGAGGGAUGAAGGUCUUCGGAUCGUAAACCUCUUUCAGUAGGGACGAAGCGAAAGUGACGGUACCUAAAGAAGAAGCACCGGCUAACUACGUGCCAGCCGCCGCGGUAA